CCUUAUCAAGAGCGGCGGAGGGAACCGGCCCUGUGAUGCCCGGCAACCUGAUUUUUUAAUCAAGGUGCCAAUUCCGGCGGAUUAUCCGAAAGAUGAGG
rnacentral:ncRNA from 1 species